UGUUUACAACUUUAUGCUACGUGCUGGCGUAAACUUUUCAUAUGGUAACUUGAUUAAUAUUAUAUAUGUUAACCAUGCCGUUUUAUACAAUUCCACAUACUUUUGUGCUAAGACAGCGUUAGGAGAGUAAAGUACUAAAAAAAAGGCCUCCUCUACUAAACGCGUUGAGCUAGCAUGCUAGGCUACAUUAAGGUGCUAAUGGAGACGUUAACGAGCCAUACUGUAAAUAAUGGCGUUUAAAAACAAAGUUAUUUUCACCCAUUUGCUCCCAUGAGCAACAAAUGGCGAGAUGUAAAGCAGAAACACGCCACCACAACAAUGCGUAAAGCGUAGCUUUGAGCUGGGGGAAAGGUGUGCUCAACCGGUACCUGGAGGGCGGGCGUACACCCUUCCCCCCGCCGCAAGAGAGCGCUCAGACAUCGGCUUCACCCAGGCGUCCCCCGGGAGUGGAGCGAGCGCUCAUCUCAAGUAGGUGCGACGUCGCUGGAAAAAAAAAAAUCCACAGGGGGAAGGAUGAGACCCAGUCCACUGCUAUAGAAGAUCCAAUGUCGUGACACCCCCAAUCAUGACAAAUGAGGAUUCAGUUGGCUACUAAGGGCUCUAAGAAGUGUCCUUUGUACCUUUGGAGCUGAGGAUGCUUGUGAGGUCACCUUCUACAGUACAGCAGGUCACGUUAGAGAUGGAAGAUGCUUGUUUUCAUUUUGGGGGUUUUUGCAUGAUUGAAAUUUAUUUUAACUUUUUUUUUCUUCCUUUGUGCUGACUCUUUUCUCUAUGGAAUGCUUGGUGGUAAGCGCUGUUUCCACAUGACAUUACCGGUCCUGCUGUUAUUACCUGCUAUUAUUGUGGUUUUGUUCGCAAAUUUAAAGGCUAUCCUUUUUCUUUUUUGAUGUUUUGUUCUUAUUCCAUUGUUUCCAUUGUAAUUGAUUUAUUUUUUUCCCCUUUCACAAUUUAUUUUUUCUUCAAUUAAUUUUUCUCAUUUUUAAUUUGUUUUUUUUUUUCUUAACGCCUCUUUUUUUCUUAUUUCCUCUUUGUACCAUUUUUUCUUUGUUUUCACUCCCCAUAUUUUUAUUGAAAUGUUCCCUCUUUUUUUCAACAUUCUAUUUUGUUUUUUAAUUGAUGUUUUGGUUUUUAUCACAUUUCACAAUUUCUUAAUUUAUUUUUAAUUUAUUUUUAAUGAAUUGUUUUUUUAAAUUUAUUUGCUGUUAUCGCCUCGUUUUUUCUUUUAUUUCCUGUUUUUGUUUU